GAUGUCAGCCGGAUCCAGGCCACUAAACUGGUAAAGCCAAAGCCAAAGCCAUGGGUGGCUUUUCUUUCCGAUGCCGCCCCUCAUUUGUGCGUAAAUGUGGCAACACACGCGCGUAUAAUUAGGCGUGUCAAUGCCGACGCUUAAAGCCAUUUUCAUGCCUUAUCAGCGCCGGCUUCGACAUGAGAAUUAAUUGCUGCCAUUUUGAUAUGCAAAAAGUGCAAAGUACUUGGCAAAAAAAAAAAAAAAUUACUCUACAAAGAGGCCUAAACUAAAAAGCCACAGCAACGGAUCGAGGUGUCUAUAUUCUGACCAAAACUAAAAACAAGCCAGGAACAAGCUAACAUGGGAGGCCGAAGCUGGAAUUACCCUAAAGAUCGUUCAAGCUUAAAUCUUAAUACCCUCCAGAAAGGGUAUUUAAAAAAAACGGAACGAAAAACUGGCAAUGCUUAUCAACGGACGUUGAUCUCCAACUGGUACGUUGCCCGACCCAAGUCGGCGGAUUGAAGUUGGUGUCGGUUUUGGCUUUGGUUUCGGUUUCGGCUUGGGAGCGGGACAAGGAGAUGGCGAUGGAGAUGGAGCUGUUGUUGGAGCUGCAGCUGGAGAUGGAGAUGGAACAGUGCCGUUUGGGGCUUUUGAGGACAGGCGGCAAUAAGCGCCGACAACGCUACCGCCUCGAAAAUCUCGAAUCUCGAGACCCCAAACCCCGAACCCCAAAACCGAAGAACUGAGGAGUGAGCUGAGACUGUGACGGCGUUGCUACGUGGGCACAAUCUAUUUUAUCCGUUUUAAUGAUCUGCCCCAGUUAGCGAAACGAAAGGGAGCAGCCGCCGUUGGUGAACGUGCCUGGUUAGGAGCUGGAGCGGACCAGUCGAUAAAACUUAUUGCUGUAUUUGCGCCUUGUUGUCUUUUGGCGCUGGCCAAGUGGAAAUAAAUUUUAGCACUCAGCUCGAGAGGCUCACUCCAUUUAUUGCAUGGCAAAUGCAUUAGAAGGAUAGAUGGCUAUGGACCCACUCUCUCUCUGCCCAUCGCCAUCGCCAUCGUCAUUGCUAUCGAACGCAUUUGAGUUAUGAACAUAAAAUAAUGCGCCACAGAGUCUGAAACAGGUGUUGCCACAAACCACCGUUAGAUGCAUAAAAAGGAAAAAAGAAAAAAAAAAAAAUUGCCAAAUGCGAAACAGGAAAACAGGUAGAUCUACCUUUUGGCCAAACACUCGCACACACACACACCGCAGCACGCAAAAAAUGUGUCUCUGAACCGGCGAAGAGUGGGUUUGUCAGGCCAAGAGCAGUGUGAUUGGUUGCUAAGUUUA